GCUGGGUGUGAUGGCGCACACCUGUAGUUCCAGCUACUCGGGAGGCUGAGGCAGGAGGAUUGCUUGAGCCUGGGAAUCGGAGUUUGCAGUGAGCAAAGGUCAUGCCACUGCACUCCAGCCUGGGCAACAGAGUGAGACUCUGUCUCAA
rnacentral:SRP_RNA from 1 species